GCUACAGUUGCAGCAAAGCUAUGUUGACGACAGGGUGUGACUAUUUUCUUGUAGGCAAUAUUAAACUAAUUCCGACUUCAUUAGUCAAUAUACAUUUGUAUAGUGUGAGAGAGCUAUGACGAUUUGUAUGAAACCUCAGCUGCCUGGACAAUGUAUAGAUCUUUUUUUUUUUUUUUUUUUUUUGAGACUUCUGGAUUGCCAGGCAGUGGCGUGUGUUUUAUUCCAGUUUCUGGGAAGCAUCCCACGGAAAGGGGGCCAGAAGCCACCACCCCUACAGACAGCAUUCGCUACAACUGUCAGGAAAUUAGGAACUGUGCCAAGCGCCUGAUGUACAGAAUUUCAGGGAGCUUCCCCAGGCAAGUGGAAGACCCCAAGGCUCUCUGGCCAGAGGAGGGACCUCUCCCUCAAAACUCCAGGGAUCCCAUUUCCCCUCCGUCCUUGGCGACACAUCCGUGUUUUCUUCUUUACUCUUUACUCGUAAGAAGGCUGCACCAUAGGACUUGCAGGUUUGUGGCUGGGCGCCCCCUGGUGGCGAACUGUGAGUGAAAACGUUGGCCACUGAGGAAAAAAGCCUGGCCCUGAUAGGCCACAAGAGUUGACUAGUCAUGGCAGGGGCCCAAGAGAGAGUAAACAACUUUUGUAAUAAGGGAGAUGGUGGAGGUGGUGAUGGUGGAGGUGGUGAUGGUGCGUGUGUGUAGGUAAGGGUGAUGUCAAUCUUCCAUCAGAAAGGUACAUGCUAGGCCUUAUAGACUGCUGGAACUUUUUUUUUUUUUCUUCUCUUCUUGAGUAUAACUUGGAGCUAAAUUCCUGAAGAGGAAAUGCGGUACACAGAAUGAAGUAUAACAAACACUGUUGCUUCCCUUUGUUCAAACGGCUUUGCCUUUCUGAUCUCAUUUUGCUUGGAAACUUCUGAACAGAGUAAAUUAAAACAUUAAAUAAAUAAUGAGGCAUGACUCAAACAA